AUGUUUGUACUCGUAGGCUUCUACAUACUUUGCAUUUAAAUUUCGGUAGCCAUCACUCAUCGGGACUUCGUGUACACUACUCAAUUGACUGUCGGGAUCAAUAUAUUACCACGGAAUAAUUGGAGAAUAAGUGAGCCUUCAGUGUUCUGCUAUUGAUACAAGGUGUUCUUAUCCUUGUUCUCAUAGGCUUGUUUGUAAUUUGCAUUUAAAUUUUGGCCGGCAUCACUCGUCAAGACUUGGAGGGUGUACCUGGCAACUUUGGGUGUGAGGUUCAGAAUAUCACCACAUAAUAAGCGAGACUUCUGUGCUUCGCUACUGGUAUUAAGGUUUGCCAAUUUCUCACCCACUGCUACAUUACUCUCGAUGCCAGGUGUUCUAGCAUUCAUAUUUGCUCUGCCAUGGUUCCUGGUACUUAGCGUUUUCAUAUGGUUGUUACUCACAAAGACUUGGUGGUGUACCUAGAAAGUUCAGGUUUGAGGAUCAAAAGAAAGGUAUAACAUUUUUCAGCUGUUCACUCUUUUUAGGCAUUCCUAUUUCAAAUAACAUGUACUCUCAGAAACUUACUUCAAUUACGAUAUUAUUUUAGUUGGUAUAUCAUCUGUUCCGCCAGACAAGAAUGGUACUACCUGUUGGAUCUAACUUCAUAUAUUCAGAUGUCGGGCUAUCACUGAAAGACCGAACAAAGAUUCUUCCUUUGCUUGAUGGCCGUGGCAUGUGGUAUAACUCUGGAACUACACACAGUAGUUGAAAUACUGAAUGGUUGAAGCUAUAGUGGAGUCAGAUCCAUACUGUCAGUGGAGCUAAUUACUGCAAAUUAUGAUGUGACUACAGUUUUGUUGAUCAAUCUCAUUUGAAGCAGCGGAUCGAAUGUGAGCCAGCCGGUUUCUGCUACUGUAACUCCCACACAAAAAAAGGGUUUUCAAGUUUGAACCAAACACAUCUUCAUUCUUCAGCCCACGACACUGGUGGCUCCUUGAUCGAAAGUCAGUGCAAUGAAAAAACUUCAACCAGGCCAAUCAUUUUUACCUUUGCAUCACAUAUAAGAUGGAAGGCAGUGGCGAAAUGAUCAGCGUUUGCUUCACAACAAUGGAAUGCUGCUCGUCCGGCUUGCCUGAAGUCUUGCGGCUUACUGUUGGGUACGGGCCCUGUUGAAACAAGGUGGAGGGGCAUGGGAGAUGGAGAAGAGGUGGACGAGUACCACCAAAUCCUGGGUGCAGAGGGAGGCGGAGAUUGACAGUUGCAAAGGGGGGGGGUGGGGGUGGCGGUGGAAGAGGAGUGCGGCGAAAGGCGCAGGAGGAGAAUGACGGCUAUCAUAUCAUCAGGAACUAUCAUUGUAAGGGGAACAGCAAGGGGAGAGUUUGUAUUUCUCUCUCUUAAUCCUCUGUUUCCAGAGUAAGAAAGAAAUGGGUCUGAGACUUCUCCUUCCAGCAAAGGUGGGCUGUGUUGGUAGAUGUUUGCUGCCCGUAUGCAAUACUAGUAGUAGUAGACUAGUUUACUCGCUGCCCGUGGAAAGACUUGACUUGCUGUCAGAGAGGGUUCCCUUCCUUGAUGAACAAUCAAUGUUUGGCUUGUUCUGUUGAUGAAUUUGGUCCUGAGACAUGGAUAAUCAUCAUCACUCCUCUCUUCUAUAUGACAGAUGACCAAAAACCAUAUGGAAACACGAUAAUACUGUAGGCUAUAGCAGAUUCAG